AAAUGGUUCCAUCAGUGUUCUUUCUCCUUCCCCUCCGCGCGCUCUCACACACUGACUGAUGUCUCAUGGCAAUAGAUUUCUGUUCAAAAACGGGGUCGUUUCACCUGCAGCGGACACUCCUUCAGUGGCAGGUUUUCUUGAAGCUCACCCAGGUGCAUAUACAACAACUCGUACUCACAAGAAUGGCUCAGAACUCUUAUUCUGGGAAAGACAUCUACUUAGGCUAUCAAACUCCUUCAGAUUAUUACUGAAAGAAAAUCCAAGACUUUUAUUUGAAAAACCCAUAACUCUUAGUACCGCAUUUUUGGAAUUAUCGAACCGAGCAAUGAUGUGGGACUCAGUAAUUCGGUCUCUAGUUAAUGAUUCUAUGAGAAAAGUGGUGCCUUUUUUUGAAAAAGAGAGGAUAUUCGGGGAGGAAUUGGCAAUCACGGCGCAUUUGAGUGGAAAUUUGGAGAAUUUGGAUCAUUUGAAGGGUGGUUUUGAUGAGGGAAAGAUUUCUGAGGUUUUGGAUGUGUAUUUACAUAUAGGCGGAUAUGUUCCGCCUGUUUUUGGUGUUAGAGGGAGUGCUGCGCAUUUGGCUGUGGUGGGUCGUGGCAGGGAUUCUGCGAAUGCGAAGUAUUCAGAUUGGGUCAGGCUAAGGAAGCCUUUGGAGAAGCUGAGGCCACCUUCUGUAAAUGAACUUCUGUUAUCAAAUGAUGGUGAGCAGAUUUUGGAAGGCUGUUUGACAAACUUUUUUGUCGUUUGUCUCAAGGAGAAAGAUGGAGAUGGUCACACUGUUGAGCAGAAACAACCACAAAGUUUAAGAUGUAUUGAAGUUCAGACUGCUCCUUUGAGUGAUGGUGUUCUUCCUGGAGUCAUACGACAAGUGAUCAGAGACAUAUGCUUGAAAAUUGGGAUCCCAUUUCGAGAAGUUGCACCAUCGUGGUCGAAGCGUGAAUUGUGGAUGGAAGCAUUCAUCACAACCUUCGAAUUUUACAGCAUGUUGAGACAAUCCAAGCUCCUAAAUCAUGGAAAUCAGUGGAAUCAAAUACUUGGGAGGAGAUCACAUGGAUCGAGAAACGAUUUCAGGACGGUCCUGGCAGGAUUACAUCAAUGUUACAGAAUUAAGAAAUCCGGUUGGGGUUCUGGUAAGCGCCCUACCUUCCCCCCGAUUUUAUUCUAUGUGAUUUUGUUCCUGAAAAAUGAAACUCACAUCUUCAUCAGUCCCAAGUCGAAAGAAUAUGAGGUGGUGUAUAAGCAAUUCCUUGUUGUUAGGCAGUCUUGUUUGAGUUAUUGAUAAAAUGCGCUGUUCGCGAUAUCCAUAUCUGGUUUAUUUCUGUCAUAUGAUAUUCUUAUAUUUGCUUAGAGAGAUCAUUUUAGUCUUUAUUUUUCUGCAUAUAUUUGGAUCCAACAUUGUGUAAGAGAAAGAGACAAUUACAUAGACACUCCCAGAGAUUUCAACUUAUUACAAAAGGAUACGCAGAUCUUGAACAUUUACAUAGACACCCUCAACAAUCAUAUAUUACACCGAAUAUUUCCCCUUGGACAUCUGAUCUACAAUGGGGAAUUUGCAAUACAAAAUAGGACUAUUAGAGGGUGGUAUGCAAUUUCUUGAAACGGAGGGAUCUUUUCUGUAAUAUGCCUGAACUCCAGGAGUUGUCAGUACAAUUAUCCCUAAAAGAAAAUGAUAUAUACAGAUGGAGAUUAUGAAAAAAGCAGGGAUCGAGCAGCUCCCGGUUACUUCAUUUGAGGAAGGACGGCCGGUCGUCUAAUCUCCACCGGCCUAGCACACGCCAAGGAACUGUCUUGAUGGUGUCAUUCACAAUCAAGACGAAAAUGAGGUUUUAUGGAUUCUCCUCUUGCUUGAGCUUUCGGUUUCUUGAUGCUGUAACUGUUUGUUACUAUCCCUGGUGUUCUACGUCGUCUGUUGGUUUGUCGAUGAUUACCAAAACUAUUCAACGUCUCAUUGUAUUAUGAUCUUGUUAUGGAUUUGUAUGUAGAAUAUCUAUGUCGAUCAACUUCAUGGUUCUGGAAAUUUUCGAGUUAUCUUUUCGUUUAA